AUACGGAGGGGACAAGCGUUGUUCGGAUUUACUGGGCGUAAAGGGCGCGUAGGCGGGCCUUCAAGUCGGGUGUGAAAACUGGCAGCUCAACUGCCAGCCUGCAUUCGAUACUGUUGGUCUUGAGUACGGGAGAGGAGAGUGGAAUUCCAGGUGUAGCGGUGAAAUGCGUAGAUAUCUGGAAGAACACCAGUAGCGAAGGCGGCUCUCUGGACCGAUACUGACGCUAAAGCGCGAAGGCUUGGGGAGCAAACAGGAUUAGAAACCCCGGUAGUCC
rnacentral:rRNA from 1 species